rnacentral:rRNA from 1 species
UACGUAGGGUGCAAGCGUUAAUCGGAAUUACUGGGCGUAAAGCGUGCGCAGGCGGUUUUGUAAGUUUGUCGUGAAAUCCCCGGGCUCAACCUGGGAAUGGCGAUGAAGACUGCAAGGCUAGAGUUUGGCAGAGGGGGGUAGAAUUCCACGGAUGUAGCAGUGAAAUGCGUAGAUAUGUGGAGGAACACCGAUGGCGAAGGCAGCCCCCUGGGUCAAAAACUGACGCUCAUGACCCCGAAAGCGUGGGGAGCAAACAGG